GGAUUAGAAGCCCAAUGAGUAAAGAGAUGGCAUCGGCAAAGGAUGGGGCUGCGGCCCAUCAGCUAGUUGGUGAGGGUAAGGCUCACCAAUGCGACGACGGGUAUGGGGCCUGAGAGGGUGACCCCCCACACUGGCACUGAGACACGGGCCAGACUCCUACGGGAGGCAGCAGUAGGGAAUAUUGCCCAAUGGGCGCCAGCCUGAGGCAGCAACGCCGCGCGGAGGAUGACGGUCUUCGGAUUGUAAACUCCUUUUCGGUGGGAAGAGGACGGACGGUACCACCGGAAGAAGUCUCGGCUAACUACGUGCCAGCAGCCGCGGUAAAACGUAGGAGGCGAGCGUUAUCCGGAUUUACUGGGCGUAAAGCGCGCGCAGGUGGUGGCUGAAGUGGUGCGUGAAAGCUCCCGGCUCAACUGGGAGAGGCCGUACCAAACUCGGUCACUGGAGACAGAUAGAGGCUGACGGAAUUCCGGGUGGAGUGGUGAAAUGCGUAGAGAUCCGGAGGAACACCAGUGGCGAAGGCGGUCAGCUGGGUCUGAUCUGACACUGAGGUGCGAAGGCGUGGGGAGCGAACGGGAUUAGAAACCCCGGUAGUCCACGCCGUAAACGAUGCAGACUAGAUGUUGGGUAAUCGAAAGGUAUCCAGUGGCGCAGCCAACGCGAUAAGUCUGCCG
rnacentral:rRNA from 1 species